rnacentral:rRNA from 1 species
UACGAAGGGGGCUAGCGUUGUUCGGAAUUACUGGGCGUAAAGCGCGCGCAGGCGGUCUUCCAAGUCAGUGGUGAAAGCCCGGAGCUCAACUCCGGAACUGCCAUUGAAACUGUUAGACUUGAGGAUGAGAGAGGUGAGUGGAAUUCCCAGUGUAGCGGUGAAAUGCGUAGAUAUUGGGAGGAACACCAGUGGCGAAGGCGGCUCACUGGACCGGUACUGACGCUGAGGCGCGAAAGCGUGGGUAGCAAACAGG